UUGAAAUAUUAAAAUGAACCACUGUAAUCUUACACAAUUGAAACACAAAUAGACAAUCCAACAGCUGCCUUUCAGAUAUUGAAGAACCGAGUCCCUGGCCCUGCCUUUUGGGAUCGCUUCUUUCAUUUCCCAAUUCGCUGUUUAGGCGAUCUAGUCUGCCUCAAGUAAGUUGAGUAAUCGCUUCUGCGUCUAAGGGAUUCAGACUUAAAAGAGUUGAGCUUGAGUGAAUCAAUUUCUAGCAGUAAGACUAGAAAAAAAUUCUCGAUUCUGCAUUAUGUUUAUGUUAGUGUUUGAGCCAGUAGUUCCGCAGUUGAGCCAUGUGCAAAAGUAUCUCAUCGCGACCUUGAUUGGUAACACUACUGGUCAUAAUCCAAGGUGGUGCUGUCUCGAAGAAUCCAUUUAUCAACUCCUGAAAAUCCUUCACAUUUUCUUCGGGCCUUUUCCCCCCAUUCUUUUUCUUCUUUCUCUUGUCACAUUUGGUAAAAAUCAAUGUCAUGGGUAUCUGAUUCUGACCCAGCCAACUGGCAUAUUCAAGAUCUAUUUUCUUUGCAGGGAUACUAGCAUCUAUAAGAAGGAACACUGAGACCAAGGAUGAAUGAUUGAGAAAAUAAUCUUUUGUAAACUUGUCCCAAUCUGUCCGAAGUUCCUGGGGAGCAGCUGCAUACCCAUAUCCAGGCAAAUCAACAAGGUACCAGCUAUCAUUGAUCCGAAAAUGAUUGAUGCAUUGCGUCUUCCCAGGUUUCUUAGAGGUAAGCGCAAGCCGCUUUCUUCUCACAAGCGAAUUGAGCAGUGAGGAUUUGCCAACAUUAGACCUUCCCACAAGCGCAAACUCAGGCAAUCCAUCAGCAGGGCAAUCCUCAGUCCUCACGCUGCUCUUCACGAACUCAGCCUGCACAAUCUGGGCAUUCCUCGCGUACUUACUCAAUACUAUGUUGGACCCUUUCAAGAU
rnacentral:misc_RNA from 1 species